rnacentral:rRNA from 1 species
CCAGACUCCUACGGGAGGCAGCAGUGAGGAAUAUUGGUCAAUGGGCGGAAGCCUGAACCAGCCAAGUCGCGUGAGGGAAUAAGGCCCUACGGGUCGUAAACCUCUUUUGCCGGGGAGCAAAGUGCCGCACGUGUGCGGUUUGGAGAGUACCCGGAGAAAAAGCAUCGGCUAACUCCGUGCCAGCAGCCGCGGUAAUACGGAGGAUGCAAGCGUUGUCCGGAAUCAUUGGGCGUAAAGAGUUCGUAGGCGGCAUGUAAAGUCAGGUGUUAAAGGCGCAGGCUCAACCUGUGUAUGGCACUUGAUACUUGCAAGCUGGAAUGCGGUAGAGGUAAAGGGAAUUCCUGGUGUAGCGGUGAAAUGCUUAGAUAUCAGGAGGAACAUCGGUGGCGUAAGCGCUUUACUGGGCCGUAAUUGACGCUGAGGAACGAAAGCCAGGGUAGCAAAUGGGAUUAGAUACCCUAGUAG